UACAGAGGUGCCAAGCGUUAGGCGGAAUCACUGGGCUUAAAGCGCGCGUAGGCGGAUGUUUAAGUGUCUUGUGAAAUCCCUCGGCUCAACCAAGGAAGUGCAUCGAAAACUGCAGAGCUUGAGUACGAAAGAGGAUCGCGGAAUUCCCGGUGUAGAGGUGAAAUUCGUAGAUAUCGGGAGGAACACCAGUGGCGAAGGCGGCGAUCUGGGUCGAUACUGACGCUGAGGUGCGAAAGCGUGGGGAGCAAACAGG
rnacentral:rRNA from 1 species